UACGUAGGGUGCAAGCGUUGUCCGGAAUUAUUGGGCGUAAAGAGCUCGUAGGCGGUUUGUCGCGUCUGCUGUGAAAACCCGAGGCUCAACCUCGGACUUGCAGUGGGUACGGGCAGACUAGAGUGUGGUAGGGGAGACUGGAAUUCCUGGUGUAGCGGUGAAAUGCGCAGAUAUCAGGAGGAACACCGAUGGCGAAGGCAGGUCUCUGGGCCACUACUGACGCUGAGAAGCGAAAGCAUGGGGAGCGAACAGG
rnacentral:rRNA from 1 species